rnacentral:rRNA from 1 species
GGCUCAGGAUGAACGCUAGCGGCAGGCUUAACACAUGCAAGUCGAACGGAGCGCUUAUGACGGAGUUUUCGGACAACUGAUUAAGUUGCUUAGUGGCGGACGGGUGAGUAACGCGUGAGGAACCUGCCUUGGAGUGGGGAAUAACACAGAGAAAUUUGUGCUAAUACCGCAUAAGCACACACUGUCACAUGACAGAGGGUGAAAAGAUUUAUCGGUACAGGAUGGGCUCGCGUCUGAUUAGCUAGUUGGUGAGGUAACGGCUCACCAAGGCGACGAUGCGUAGCCGACCUGAGAGGGUGAUCGGCCACAUUGGGACUGAGACACGGCCCAGACUCCUACGGGAGGCAGCAGUGGGGAAUAUUGCACAAUGGGGGAAACCCUGAUGCAGCAACGCCGCGUGAGUGAUGACGGCCUUCGGGUUGUAAAGCUCUGUCUUUAGGGACGAUAAUGACGGUACCUAAGGAGGAAGCCACGGCUAACUACGUG